GAGAAACACCCGUUCCUGUAUGAUUUCCGAUGUUAAGCAAUGUCGAGCCUGGUCAGUACUUAAAAGGAUGUCUACUUGGGAAAACCUGGUGCUGU